AAUGAACGUUGGCGGCAUGGAUUAGGCAUGCAAGUCGGGGGAAUCCCAGCAAUGGGGGAACCGGCGUAAGGGGCAGUAAGGUGUGGGUACCUACCGCGGGGUUCGGGAUAGCCAUCAGAGAUGGUGGGUAAUACCGGAUGACGUCGUGAGACCAAAGAUUCAUCGCCCCGUGAGGGGCCCACAUGAUAUUAGCUAGUUGGUGGGGUAACGGCCCACCAAGGCGAAGAUGUCUAGCGGGUGUGAGAGCACGACCCGCGCCACUCGCACUGAGACACUGGCGAGACACCUACGGGUGGCUGCAGUCGAGGAUCUUCGGCAAUGGGCGCAAGCCUGACCGAGCGAUGCCGCGUGCGCGAUGAAGGCCUUCGGGUCGUAAAGCGCUUUAGUGGGGGAGAAAAGCCCGAAAGGGUGUGAUCUAUCCCAAAAAUAAGCUCGGGCUAAGUUCGUGCCAGCAGCCGCCGUAACAC
rnacentral:rRNA from 1 species